UACGUAGGGGGCUAGCGUUGUCCGGAAUCAUUGGGCGUAAAGAGCGUGUAGGCGGUCCGGUAAGUCCGCUGUGAAAGUCGGGGGCUCAACCCUCGAAUGCCGGUGGAUACUGUCGGGCUAGAGUGCGGAAGAGGCGAGUGGAAUUCCUGGUGUAGCGGUGAAAUGCGCAGAUAUCAGGAGGAACACCGAUGGCGAAGGCAGCUCGCUGGGACGGUACUGACGCUGAGACGCGAAAGCGUGGGGAGCAAACAGG
rnacentral:rRNA from 1 species